rnacentral:lncRNA from 1 species
GCCGCUGGAGUCGCCCAGACUGCCUCGGAUUUCAUAAUGAAUCUGAGGAAGGACAAAGGGUACAUUGGACCGCCUCAGCUCAGAGGCCCCGCGGACCCUGGGCCCCGCGAUGCCCGAGGGGCGGGCGGCGCCCUCCGGAUCCUGCACCCUCAGCCCGUGCCCCGCUGGCCUCCUGGCAGGCCGGGCAGAAUUCUGCUGCGAGGGCCCUGGAGGCAAGGGCCUUCCUCUCCGUUUUUCCUUGACACUGACGGGCGCGGCCCCACAGGGUUUCCCCCACGCUCCCUGGCCGGAAGACCUUUUCUGUCUGGUGUCUGCAGAGCCUGACGUGGGCAGCGCCCGCAGCUCGCGCCGGUGCAGGGGAGCUGAGGGCCGACUGCGCGCUGCACCACGGCGGCCACCUGCUGUGCGGUUCUGAGGGCUUCCGCGGUUCUGAGGGCUUCCGCGUCCCUGCCAUGCCCAUCUUGGGGCUUCAGAAGCCAACACGAUGGUUUUCGGGCUCACAUCCCAAAGGCUGCUCUUCCUUUUAGCACCUGGGACCUACCAGGAACCUCAACCUCUAACAACAUUGGUCCCCGUUACCGUGGAGUUUGCGCCCAGCGUUCGCUGGAGGGCCGUUUGAAGAAUGAUUGUUGUCGUAAAGGCCUUUGAUAAUAAUAGAUACUGUUUACCCAGUGCUUGAUGCCAGGCAUUGCUACAAACACUGCGUACACAUUAUUCUAUUUAAUCUUCAUAACCCAGUGAGGAUAUCAACCAGGAUAUGGCAUUGCAUUGGAUCCCAACCAGGAUAUGACGUUACAUUGGAUCCCAACCAGGAUAUGGCAUUGCACUGGAUCCCAACCAGGAUAUGGCAUUGCACUGGAUCCCAACCAGGAUAUGGCAUUGCGUUGGAUCCCAACCAGGUUAUGGCAUUACAUUGGAUCCCAACCAGGUUAUGGCAUUGCAUUGGAUCCCAACCAGGAUAUGACAUUGCAUUUACUCAUCACGCCUCCUUAGGUUCCUCUUGGCUGUGACGGUUUCUCAGACUAUCCUUGUUUUUUAGGACCUUGACAGUUUUGAGGCAUACUGGAGAGCUCAACGUGGGCGUUUCUUUCUGUAACAAGUAUGCAUCAUGGCUGGCUGACUCCUCCCCAUAACAAGCAGUUUAAAGGUG